GUUCUUUUUCUUUCUUUCUUUCUUAGAAUCCUUUUAGUCUUUUGCUGCACAGUGUUUGUUUGGCUAGCUGGGUUUUUUUAUUUUUCUUUUUAAGAUUCAGAGGAUGAAGAUUUGAAUCUGUCAGGUGAAUGUUAAACGAAAUUAGGCUAAUUAUUUUUUUUUAGUCUAAAACUCUUAAUUAUGUGACAAAAGUAUUUCUUUCCAAGAAAACAGUACGCAUAUAAAAGAAAAAAGAGAGAGAGAAUCUUCGUCUUUUUAUUAUGAAAAGGGUUACAAAGAAGAUAAUUUAGUGGGAGCCAAACCAGGCAUAGCAAGUAUGGCAUGAAAUCAUCCCGUUGUUAUCACUCAACUCAAUUCAACUCGACUAAAUUUUUAUCUCAAAAAUUUAGAAUCCAUUAUAUAGAUUCGUUUUCUCCACUCUAAACG
rnacentral:misc_RNA from 1 species